GAGAAGAAGAAGAAGAAAAAUAAGGAAAAAAGGGGAAGAAGAAGAAAAAAAAAAGAGAAGGAAAUUAUUGAAAACUUUUAAACGCUCGUUUUCCCUUCUUCUUGUUUUUCUUCUUUUCCGUCUC
rnacentral:miRNA from 1 species